rnacentral:rRNA from 1 species
GAUCUGAGAGGAUGUCCCCCACACUGGAACUGAAACACGGUCCAGACGCCUACGGGUGGCAGCAGUGAGGAAUAUUGGACAAUGGGCGAAAGCCCGAUCCAGCAACGCCGCGUGGAGGAUGAAGGCCUUCGGGUCGUAAACUUCUUUAGAGGGAGACGAGAAAGGACGGUAUCCCUAGAAUAAGCGACGGCAAACUACGUGCCAGCAGCCGCGGUAACACGUAGGUCGCGAGCGUUAUCCGGAUUUACUGGGCGUAAAGCGCUUGUAGGCGGUUCUGUAAGUCGGGCGUGAAAUCUCCGGGCUUAACCCGGAGUGGCCGUUCGAUACUGCAGGGCUUGAGGAUGCUAGAGGGUGGUGGAAUUCCAGGUGUAGUGUGAAAUGCGUAGAUAUCUGGAGGAACAUCCGUGGCGAAGGCGGCCACCUGGGGCAUUCCUGACGCUGAGAAGCGACAGCUAGGGGAUCAAACGGGAUUAGAAACCCCGGUAGUCCUAGCCGUAAACGAUGGACGCUAGGUGUUGGCAGAUCUAACCCUGUCUGCGCCGAAGCAAACGCGUUAAGCGUCCCGCCUGGGAACUACGGUCGCAAGAUUAAAACUCAAAGGAAUUGACGGGGACCCGCACAAGCAGCGGAGCGUGUGGUUUAAUUCGAUGCUACACGAAGAACCUUACCCAGGUUUGACAUACUAGUGGUAGUGAACUGAAAGGGGAACGACCCGCAAGGGAGCUAGUACAGGUGUUGCAUGGCUGUCGUCAGCUCGUGUCGUGAGAUGUUGGUUUAAGUACCCUAACGAGCGCAACCCUUAUUGCCAGUUACACGUAUCUGGCGAGACUGCCGGCCACAAGCCGGAGGAAGGCGAGGAUGACGUCAAGUCAGCAUGGCCUUUAUAUCUGGGGCUACACACACGCUACAAUGGGCGUAACAAUGGGAUGCCAAGCCGCGAGGCGGAGCCAAUCCCCCAAAUACGUCCUCAGUUCAGAUUGCAGGCUGCAACCCGCCUGCAUGAAGUCGGAGUUGCUAGUAAACGCGCGUCAGCUAUAGUGCGUUGAAUACGUUCCCGGGUCUUGUACACACCGCCCGUCACACUAUGGGAGCUGGUAAUACCUGAAGCCGGUAGCCUAACCGCAAGGAAGGCGCCGUCAGAGGUAGGGCUGGUGACUGGAGUGAAGUCGUAACAAGGUAGCUGUACGGGAUCGUGCGGCUGG